rnacentral:rRNA from 1 species
CCUACGGGAGGCAGCAGUGAGGAAUAUUGGUCAAUGGACGAGAGUCUGAACCAGCCAAGUAGCGUGAAGGAUGAAUGCUCUAUGGGUUGUAAACUUCUUUUAUAUGGGAAUAAAACAGGGUAUGCAUACCCUCUUGUAUGUACCAUAUGAAUAAGGAUCGGCUAACUCCGUGCCAGCAGCCGCGGUAAUACAGAGGAUCCGAGCGUUAUCCGGAUUUAUUGGGUUUAAAGGGAGCGUAGGUGGAUUGUUAAGUCAGUUGUGAAAGUUUGCGGCUCAACCGUAAAAUUGCAGUUGAAACUGGCAGGCUUGAGUACAGUAGAGGUGGGCGGAAUUCGUGGUGUAGCGGUGAAAUGCUUAGAUAUCACGAAGAACUCCGAUUGCGAAGGCAGCUCACUGGACUGCAACUGACACUGAUGCUCGAAAGUGUGGGUAUCAAACAGGAUUAGAUACCCUGGUAGUC